AACGUAGGAGACAAACGUUAUCCGGAGUUACUGGGCGUAAAGGGCGUGUAGGCGGUUAGUUAAGUCUGGCGUGAAAGCUCUCAGCUAAACCGGGAGAGGUCGUUGGAUACUGGCAAACUAGAGGACGGUAGAGGCGUGUGGAAUUCCGGGUGUAGUGGUGAAAUGCGUAGAGAUCCGGAGGAACACCAGUGGCGAAGGCGACACGCUGGGCCGUACCUGACGCUAAAGCGCGACAGCAUGGGGAGCAAACGGG
rnacentral:rRNA from 1 species